rnacentral:rRNA from 1 species
GAUGAACGCUGGCUACAGGCUUAACACAUGCAAGUCGCGGGGCAGCAUGGGGGCUGCUUGCCACCCCUGAUGGCGACCGGCGCACGGGGGAGUUACGCGUAUCCAAACUGCCCUUCACCACGGGGUAACCCGGCGAAAGUCGGACUAAUUCCGUAUGUUGUACAUUGACGGCAUCAAAUCUGGACGGAUUGCUUGGGGACGCAAGGAUGGGGAUGCGUUCGAUUAGCUUGACGGCGGGGUAACGGGCGACCGUGGCUCCGAUCGGUAGGGGUGCUGAGGGGAAGGGCCCCCACAGGGGAACUGAGACACGGGCCAGAAUCCUACGGGAGGCAGCAGUGAGGAAGAUUGGUCAAGGGGCGUAAGCCUGAACCAGCCAAGUAGCGUGCAGGAUGACGGCCGUAUGGGUUGUAAACUGCGUUUAUGCGGGGAUAAAGUGGCCGACGAGUGGUCUUGUGCAGGUACCGCAUGAAUAAGGACCGGCUAAUUCCGUG